ensembl:snRNA U1 U1 spliceosomal RNA
AGACUCAUUUAACAGGAAAGACAGCAUGAUCACAAAGGUGAUUUUCCCAGGGCAAAGCUUAUCCAUUGUGCUCCACAUGUGCUGACCCCUGUGAUUUUCCCAAAUGUGAUAAACUCAACUGCAUAAUUGUGGCAGUAGGGAGCAGCAUUUACAAUUUCCCCUAG